GGGCGCCAUGCAAGAUUGCGUGGAGGAAUUGGAGGACACGAUAGAUGAGCUGAGAAAGUCAAUCAGCGAGAUGGGUCAGAUUAAAGGCUCCAAUUUUGGACUAAUGAUUAACGAUAUACAGACAUGGGUUAGCGCUGCUUUGACGGAUGAGAACACCUGCGCCGACGGGUUUGGAGGGAAAAACAUGAACGGCAGUAUAAAGACUGCUGUGAGAUCCAAGAUUGUCACAAUCGCUCAUUUGACAAGUAAUGCCUUGGCUUUGGUCAACAGCUAUGCUUCAUUUCAUGGUUAGCUAUUUAAUCAACUGUACAGGGGAAAUUUAGUCAUUAUUUACGGUAGCAAUUGUAUUUAUGGAUUUUUAGAAACUACUUCUGUUUUCCUGGUAAAUGUAAAAUAUAUAUGUGGUCCAAAGAAGGGAAUGGAGAUGUGUGUGUGUGUGUGUGUGAUCUUGGUGUCUUAAUGAAAAUGAACGGAGUGAUCUAUAUUAUGUGCACACGUUGUAUCUGUACAAUAAAUUGCUUUUUGUGAACAUAGUAAAAGUAAAGUUGAUGAAGCCUCUGUUGCAGCAUACAAGCAGAGGUUUUAGUUUGUUGCAAGUACAUCUGGUCUUGAUUUUGUAUAGACAUAGUAGUAUUAUUUUGAUCUCAUAUUUUUGUAACUCAUUUAAGACUACUUAAUAACUUUACUAAAUGCAAAUUUUGUUUCAAACGUCAAGAUUAAUUUGGUAUUCAAAAAUAUCUUGUACUUGAAAUUACGAGUAUUUUCGAUAUUAAUAUAUUCGAGCACUCAACUUCCACUUCAAAUUCUGGGCCCUUGGUCCCUACCCAAUGAUGAUUGCCUACCCCGUACUUAGUUGCAUACUUUCUUGGUUUAAUUAUUAGAAUAAAUAUCUAUCAUUAGUUUAUUAGUUGUUUUUUCUUCAGUAAAAAUAUGCUCACACUCGACUCGAUUGUUGAAUCUAAAUAUAAAGUACAACAUUUAUUGUCGAAGUAACUCAAAUUAACUACCACUUCAAUUGUAAUUUUGAACAUCAAUUAUUCAUUACUCAUAUCAAUACUAAGUGAUUAAAAACAAUUUCAGUUCAUUUAAGAUGAAUCAGAAACAUUUUAAAAUAAAUUCUAGGUGUUCGGGGCUGAUUGGGACAAAGUUCGAGUCUCAAGGGUUAAAAUGAGCCCAUUUAAAAUGAAUUAGAAACACACUUGUAAGGCUAUAAUGAGCCCAUUUAGGCAUAACACCCUCAACUGAUUUAAAACAUAGUAGAAUGAGUCCCAUGAUAUAGGUUCAUAAUUAUCCUUUGCACAUUUAGCGGAAUUGAACGCUUAUCCCACCACAUCACGCUAAUAGAUAAAAAGACCUCUCCUAUAAAUAACCUGAUGAACAAGGAAGAAGGGAUCGAUGGCCAACACCCUAAAAUUACAUCUUGAUCGACAUAUCCUAUUGUCCCUAUUUUGACUGUUAACCUCUUUAAGUGAACUGACCUUCAUUUCUCCUCAGUCCAAGUCCUAUAAGAGGUGGUAAGUGGUGUUGGACUCUAAUAUAGUUUAUAUUCUACUAAUCCAAUCAUUACGAGAUUAAGUAAUUAUAUAUUGGGUACUUAUAUCCUUCAAAAAAUAACCCCAAUAAUUAACUUAAAAAGAGAGAGAAAAACUAACCCUGUAAUCAUUUUCCGGUGGAGAAUUUUGGCAUCCAAAAUAGGAGUAUCCUCUCCUUACGUUAUGUUUU
rnacentral:lncRNA from 1 species